UUUAAAUACAAUAAAUGUUGGCAAAGUAAGAUCUAUAAAUAAGUCAACAUGACCGAAAUUUUCAGUUGACCCCUUUAAGAGUUAUUGCCCUUUAAAGUCAAGUUUUAACCAUUUUUUCGUAAAUCUUAGUAAUCUUUUACAAAAAUCUUCUCUGAAACUACUGGGCCAAGUUAAUUAUAGAUAGAGAUAAUUGUAAGCAGCUAGAAUGUUCAGUAAAGUAAGAUGAACAAACACAUCACCAUCACCAAAACACAAUUUUGUCAUGAAUCCAUCUACGUCCUUUGUUUACUAUUCACAAAAACCAAGGUGAGCGACACAGGCUCUUUAGAGCCUCUAGUUU
rnacentral:lncRNA from 1 species